AGCGAACGCUGGCGGCAGGCCUAAUACAUGCAAGUCGAGCGGCCCUUCGGGGCAGCGGCGGACGGGUGAGUAACGCGUGGGAACGUGCCCUUUGGUACGGAACAACUGAGGGAAACUUCAGCUAAUACCGUAUGUGCCCUUCGGGGAAAGAUUUAUCGCCAUUGGAGCGGCCCGCGUUGGAUUAGCUAGUUGGUGGGGUAAAGGCCCACCAAGGCGACGAUCCAUAGCUGGUCUGAGAGGAUGAUCAGCCACACUGGGACUGAGACACGGCCCAGACUCCUACGGGAGGCAGCAGUAGGGAAUCUUGCGCAAUGGGCGAAAGCCUGACGCAGCCAUGCCGCGUGAAUGAUGAAGGUCUUAGGAUUGUAAAAUUCUUUCACCGGGGAAGAUAAUGACGGUACCCGGAGAAGAAGCCCCGGCUAACUUCGUG
rnacentral:rRNA from 1 species